GGAGGAGUGGCAGAGCGGUUGAAUGCACCGGUCUUGAAAACCGGCGUGGGUGCAAGCCCAUCGUGGGUUCGAAUCCCACCUCCUCCGCCA
rnacentral:tRNA from 1 species